GACGAACGCUGGCGGCGUGCUUAACACAUGCAAGUCGAACGGAAAGGCCCUGCUUGCAGGGUACUCGAGUGGCGAACGGGUGAGUAACACGUGGGUGAUCUGCCCUGCACUUCGGGAUAAGCCUGGGAAACUGGGUCUAAUACCGGAUAGGAGCCAUUUUUAGUGUGAUGGUUGGAAAGUUUUUUCGGUGUAGGAUGAGCUCGCGGCCUAUCAGCUUGUUGGUGGGGUAAUGGCCUACCAAGGCGGCGACGGUAGCCGGCCUGAGAGGGUGGACGGCCACAUUGGGACUGAGAUACGGCCCAGACGCCUACGGGAGGCAGCAGUGGGGAAUAUUGCACAAUGGGCGCAAGCCUGAUGCAGCGACGCCGCGUGGGGGAUGACGGCCUUCGGGUUGUAAACUCCUUUCGCUAGGGACGAAGCUUUUUGUGACGGUACCUAGAUAAGAAGCACCGGCUAACUACGUG
rnacentral:rRNA from 1 species